UACGGAGUAAGUGGUGGUAGAGAA
rnacentral:siRNA from 1 species